rnacentral:rRNA from 1 species
GAUGAACGCUGGCGGCGUGCCUAAUACAUGCAAGUCGAGCGAACGGACGAGAACCUUGCUUCUCUGAUGUUAGCGGCGGACGGGUGAGUAACACGUGGAUAACCUACCUAUAAGACUGGGAUAACUUCGGGAAACCGGAGCUAAUACCGGAUAAUAUUUUGAACCGCAUGGUUCAAAAGUGAAAGACGGUCUUGCUGUCACUUAUAGAUGGAUCCGCGCUGCAUUAGCUAGUUGGUAAGGUAACGGCUUACCAAGGCAACGAUGCAUAGCCGACCUGAGAGGGUGAUCGGCCACACUGGAACUGAGACACGGUCCAGACUCCUACGGGAGGCAGCAGUAGGGAAUCUUCCGCAAUGGGCGAAAGCCUGACGGAGCAACGCCGCGUGAGUGAUGAAGGUCUUCGGAUCGUAAAACUCUGUUAUUAGGGAAGAACAUAUGUGUAAGUAACUGUGCACAUCUUGACGGUACCUAAUCAGAAAGCCACGGCUAACUACGUGCCAGCAGCCGCGGUAAUACGUAGGUGGCAAGCGUUAUCCGGAAUUAUUGGGCGUAAAGCGCGCGUAGGCGGUUUUUUAAGUCUGAUGUGAAAGCCCACGGCUCAACCGUGGAGGGUCAUUGGAAACUGGAAAACUUGAGUGCAGAAGAGGAAAGUGGAAUUCCAUGUGUAGCGGUGAAAUGCGCAGAGAUAUGGAGGAACACCAGUGGCGAAGGCGACUUUCUGGUCUGUAACUGACGCUGAUGUGCGAAAGCGUGGGGAUCAAACAGGAUUAGAUACCCUGGUAGUCCACGCCGUAAACGAUGAGUGCUAAGUGUUAGGGGGUUUCCGCCCCUUAGUGCUGCAGCUAACGCAUUAAGCACUCCGCCUGGGGAGUACGACCGCAAGGUUGAAACUCAAAGGAAUGGACGGGGACCCGCACAAGCGGUGGAGCAUGUGGUUUAAUUCGAAGCAACGCGAAGAACCUUACCAAAUCUUGACAUCCUUUGACAACUCUAGAGAUAGAGCCUUCCCCUUCGGGGGACAAAGUGACAGGUGGUGCAUGGUUGUCGUCAGCUCGUGUCGUGAGAUGUUGGGUUAAGUCCCGCAACGAGCGCAACCCUUAAGCUUAGUUGCCAUCAUUAAGUUGGGCACUCUAAGUUGACUGCCGGUGACAAACCGGAGGAAGGUGGGGAUGACGUCAAAUCAUCAUGCCCCUUAUGAUUUGGGCUACACACGUGCUACAAUGGACAAUACAAAGGGCAGCGAAACCGCGAGGUCAAGCAAAUCCCAUAAAGUUGUUCUCAGUUCGGAUUGUAGUCUGCAACUCGACUACAUGAAGCUGGAAUCGCUAGUAAUCGUAGAUCAGCAUGCUACGGUGAAUACGUUCCCGGGUCU